ACGCUCGACACCUACGGGAAGCAGCAGUGGGGAAUAUUGCACAAUGGGGGAAACCCUGAUGCAGCGACGCCGCGUGAGCGAAGAAGUAUUUCGGUAUGUAAAGCUCUAUCAGCAGGGAAGAAGAAAGACGGUACCUGACUAAGAAGCCCCGGCUAACUACGUGCCAGCAGUCGCGGUAAUCUGAGCGGGCUGGCAAGGC
rnacentral:rRNA from 1 species